GCCCCACUCAGUAUGGUGGUUAUGACACUCGACUUGUAAUCGAGUGGGCUCGUGUUCGAAUCCCGAAUAGGGCG